GAAUUAUCAAACCGACACCAGUAAGAAGCACCAUGGACAGGACUCCAUUCUGAGAAUAAAGACCGACUUCCCUUUAAUGAAGAGGACAAAGAAACAAUGGAUCAGACUAAAAGCCCAGCAGCUCUGGAAAAAAUCAUCGACAGCCUUGCAAGAGCUGCAGGAAACCCUCCCAAGCAAAGAAGAAAGAAGCGUAAAUGUCUGUUCAAAGGCGCCAAAAACCAUGAGGAGAAACAGAGCCUAAGCUGAGAGCUCGAGCCUGCUGGCAGGGCCCCCGCUGACUCACCGCUGGGCGGGGGCGUGAAAGGGAAUUACUGACCGUUCUGUGCAAAGGUGAAUCGUUUUAUUCAAGGAGCGCCAAAUAAAACAAACACGUUGAAAUAUUAAGUCAGAGGCAGUGCACUUUUUUUCCUUAAGCAAAAGAAGAAAUGAAAAUCUAAUUGAGCCUGAAAAAUUCUAAGAGUGCCCGAAGCUUGCUGUUUUCUGACUGGGUGAGCUUCCAAGGGACCUCAGAACCUGUGUAGUCAUCAGGGAACCCCAGAGAAGCAAGGACGAGAUG